rnacentral:lncRNA from 1 species
UUGCAGCCAGGUUAUCCCCCUAGAUCAACAUUGGAUGAUUAUUACCAAAAGCGUGAAAAAGAAAUCCUUUUUCAGCAUGAAGCCAAACGAAAAGUAAGGUGAAGAAAUCCCAGCUGAGGCCAAUAACUAAGCAGAGACAAAAGAUCCCCAAAGAGAAAACCAUAGCCUGUUACUCGAUUGCUAUGAGGAUGGGUGGAUCUGCAGAACAAAAGCCAAGACAGGAUUCAUCCUACUGAAAGACUGCCAUUGUGCUGCCCUUAGGAGAGAAAAAACACACAACCAGUACGACCACCCAGAUCAAGUCUGAUUGAUGAAGAUGUAUACUCCCCUCUUAGAGUGUUGAUUUUACCAUCAAAUCCCAGUGAUCUGUGUAAUCUUAUUGCACCUGCGGGUCUCAAUCACCCUGCAGAACAGAUGCAAAUCUAGCCCUUAGCAAGAUCACAGUAUGUGGAGAGAGAGACAGAUCUCUUUCGUUCCUCUCACUCUCCCUGCUUCCAACACCCGUGUGCAUUUGGAACAGAUCCCUCCCUGGAUUUCGCUCCUGAGCCUUGGAUGAGGCUGUGGCUGUAGAACUGCAAAGACUGGCUCUGACAGGGGCAUCUGCGAUCGGAUUUGUGGAUUGGCAUGGGGGUGGGGACGAAGACAAAGACACCAUCUCUGGUAGAGGAGGGGAAAGAAUCAUCUGAGGACCCAUCUUCUUGCGGGGGAAGGGCAGGGAUAACUACAUAAAUCAGGCAGAUAAAGACAAAAUCAUGUCCUGGAACCCCAUCAAGAAAACAGAGCCUCCUUUCCACCACACCUCAGAACUGCCAUACGGAACAAGCACGGCAUGUUUCUUCAUAGAGCAGGAGGACUGAGGAGAUGGCCAAAACAACAUCUCUACCCUACCAUUUCUGUCUACGCUGCAGCAAUGAGACAGACAAGACUGACUAAUUUCAUUAAAAAAAUACUCUAAGAUGAAUCGCUCCAGAGAAGAAAAGUGUCCCGAAGAAACAGAAUCUGAAUCAUCCAAAGUAUGUAUAAAGAUGUAUACAAACACAUGCAUGUAUUUUCCCUUGAGUAUAUAGGAAAUCUGGAAUGUAGAAGAUGGCAGUAAAUUAGAUUCAACAGACUACAUCAUAAGAAUCAAUACAAAUCAGAGUUUCAAUAAGUAAUUUGGAAGCAUUCAGAUGCAUACACUAAAGAUUUCUACAGAGGUGAGGGAGAGGAAGAACUGUGUGCAUGUGCGUGGAAUGGGGGCAGUGCAGAAAUUCCAAAAAACAUACGUGAGACCUUGAUGCUAAAUAGAUGUGGGGGGUGGGGGGAGAACCCAAGGAAACUAUUACAUUACUUUUGAUGAGAAAUGAAAGGGGAAAAAACUGAUCCACUCCAACAGCAGGAACUGACAGGCAGGAGAGAACCAGUUCCGCUAGUUCUCUUUCCUCUGCUCAUGUGACCUGGCUCCUACCAGGCAGUUGCUCUAGACCCCAGGCCUUAGCCCAACAGGCAGCUGAUAUCACUUGAACCAAACAAGCUUCUCUGCUUGUUUUACUCUGCUAACAUCACCUAUGAUCUUUCUAUUCACUAUCUCACUCUCCCCUGUUGAAUAUGCAUCACAUUCU